CAACUAGUCUCUAGAGUUUUUAGAGAAAGAAAAUGCUCUCCCACAGUUUAUUCCUUUCCUUUUCUUAAGUUUCACUGAGAUUGGUUUAGGUGAGUCUUCCUUGCCUUUCGAAGUAGGGGAAGGCGAUUGUUUCCUUCAGCUGAGUCUAGGGUAUCAUGCCCUUCUCGGUUAUAAGUGUAUAGUUUUGAUUUUGUUGGUUGAUUUCACAAAUCUUAGUGUUUGUCUGGUGAGGGUUUUCGAUGUUGAUCUGUUGGUGUUAAAGGAGCUUUGCUUGUCUAAUGUCGAUGAUGGACCCAGGAAGGAGUUUCAUGGACAAUGAUUUGAGGGUUUAGAGCCAGUGUUAAUGAGAGUGUUGCUGGUUUUCCCAUAGCUAUGGCCUCUGCUGUUCUCUCUUUUUAGGUCGAUGGUGGUUAUGUGGUUGGUGGUUUGGUCCUUCUGGUUUCCAUGUCUUUGGUCUUGAUACUUUCUUUGAGACCUUCCCUUGCUGCCUCUUGCUAUUUAGUUGUAAAUAUUUGCUUAGGCAAGGAUGUUUGAUCUCUGUUGUUGGUUCUACGUGAUGAUGAUGACGAUGCCUCUAAGCUUCAUUCCGGGUUCCUGAGUCUUUAGGUCGAGUUUCUUACCCUAUAGCUUAAGGUUUCUUGGUAAAGACUUUGGAAUCUUUUUGUAUUGCUUUAUUGGACCUUUGGGCUUCUCUUGUAUUUGCAGGUUAGGAGAGCUUUGUUCUUGGAUUAAAGGCCUACGAGUUUUGUUUAAUGCAACUGUUCU
rnacentral:misc_RNA from 1 species